UAAAGUGCUGGGAUUACAGGUGUGGGCCACCGCGCCCGACCUACAGGCGCCUUUUUAUUUGCGAUUUUAAGGUCCUUGCAAUUAGCCUACGUGUUAGAGUCAUUUGGCGUUUGGUAGUAUCCAUGGCAGCAUUUUUUCUUUCUUAAUGCUAUUGUAUUUCUUGGAUCGGGUGUCUUCACAUCACCGGCCUGUGGCUUGGAUGCGGCACAUGGUGUAAUUAGGAGCUCCCCUGUGGGCAUGCAGAUACAGAUAUUUCUCCACUUAAGAAGGGGUCAGGGGGCGCGGUGGCUCACACCUGUAAUCCCAGCACUUUGGGAUGCUGAGGCAGGCGGAUCACCUGAGGUCAGGAGUUCGAGACCAGCCUGACCAACAUAGUGAAACCCCAUCUCUACUAAAAGUACAAAAAUUAGCUCGGCGUGGUGGCGCUUAAUCCCAGCUACUUAAGAGGCUGAGGCAGGAGAAUAACUUGAACCCAAGAAGCGGAGGUUGCAGUGAGCAGAGAUCGACAAGAGCAAGACUCCGUCUAAAAAAAAAAAAAAAAAAUGGGGUCAAGUCCCAGUGAACCCAUCAUGAAGUCGAAACAUCGUAAGUGAAACCACGAAAGUCAUCAGUGCGGGGAACACUGGAAUUGCGUGCCACCAGAGGACAGAGUGGAGCCAGCGCGGUAUCACUUCUGUGCUGUUCCCAUCGAAGGUCAGUAACCGGAACCCCUUCGCCAGGACGCGGGUCCUGGCCAACCCAAAUCGAGGGGCAUUCUGCAGAUCAGCUGGUCUGCCAUCUUCAAACGAUUCAUGAAAAUCAAAGACAGCUUUGAGGAACGGCUCCAGACUGGCAGAGACCAAAGAGGUCAUAGAUGAACAGGAGAUCCCCAACUGGAUCCUUUGGCUGUAAAGGACAAUAUUGGCACAACGGGUGAAGCUUGAAUGGGGUCUGAGGAUUAGGUGGUAGUAACUUCACAGGCGGGGAUUUGGGAGAAAUGCAAUGUCACGUGGAAAACUGACUCUCAAAUAGUUCAAGAAGGAAGUUCUUUGGACUAUACUUGCAACUUUUCUGUAGGCUUAAUACUGUUUCACAAUUUUAAAAUGUAAAAUAAUAGUACCAGGUAGUAGUUUUUUAUUAAGACAGAUUGUGCUUUUUGAAAGCAUUGGUGGAAAGAUUUCUCAAAAUCAU
rnacentral:lncRNA from 1 species